rnacentral:rRNA from 1 species
AGAGUUUGAUCCUGGCUCAGGACGAACGCUGGCGGCGCGCCUAACACAUGCAAGUCGAACGAGCGAGAGAGAGCUUGCUUUCUCGAGCGAGUGGCGAACGGGUGAGUAACGCGUGAGGAACCUGCCUCAAAGAGGGGGACAACAGUUGGAAACGACUGCUAAUACCGCAUAAGCCCACGACCCGGCAUCGGGUAGAGGGAAAAGGAGCAAUCCGCUUUGAGAUGGCCUCGCGUCCGAUUAGCUAGUUGGUGAGGUAAUGGCCCACCAAGGCGACGAUCGGUAGCCGGACUGAGAGGUUGAACGGCCACAUUGGGACUGAGACACGGCCCAGACUCCUACGGGAGGCAGCAGUGGGGAAUAUUGCACAAUGGGGGAAACCCUGAUGCAGCGACGCCGCGUGGAGGAAGAAGGUCUUCGGAUUGUAAACUCCUGUUGUUGAGGAAGAUAAUGACGGUACUCAACAAGGAAGUGACGGCUAACUACGUGCCAGCAGCCGCGGUAAAACGUAGGUCACAAGCGUUGUCCGGAAUUACUGGGUGUAAAGGGAGCGCAGGCGGGAAGACAAGUUGGAAGUGAAAUCCAUGGGCUCAACCCAUGAACUGCUUUCAAAACUGUUUUUCUUGAGUAGUGCAGAGGUAGGCGGAAUUCCCGGUGUAGCGGUGGAAUGCGUAGAUAUCGGGAGGAACACCAGUGGCGAAGGCGGCCUACUGGGCACCAACUGACGCUGAGGCUCGAAAGUGUGGGUAGCAAACAGGAUUAGAUACCCUGGUAGUCCACACUGUAAACGAUGAUUACUAGGU